rnacentral:rRNA from 1 species
GCAGGCUGCAACUCGCCUGCAUGAAGUCGGAAUUGCUAGUAAUCGCAGAUCAGCAUGCUGUGGUGAAUACGUUCCCGGGCCUUGUACACACCGCCCGUCACACCAUGGGAGUCGGUAACACCCGAAGUCGGUAGCCUAACCGUAAGGAGGGCGCCGCCGAAGGUGGGAUUGAUGACUGGGGUGAAGUCGUAACAAGGUACC